CGUGUAGGCGGCUGGAUAAGUCAGAUGUGAAAGCCCUGGGCUUAACCCAGGAAGUGCAUUUGAAACUGUUCAGCUUGAGUAAGGGAGAGGAAGGUGGAAUUCCUGGUGUAGAGGUGAAAUUCGUAGAUAUCAGGAGGAACACCGGUGGCGAAGGCGACUUUCUGGCCCUAUACUGACGCUGAGACGCGAGAGCGUGGGUAGCAAACA
rnacentral:rRNA from 1 species